AGUACGGCGGAACACGAGAAAUUCCGUCGGAAUCCGCGGGGACCAUCCCGCAAGGCUAAAUACUCCCUAGUGACCGAUAGUGAACCAGUACCGUGAGGGAAAGGUGAAAAGCACCCCGGAAGGGGAGUGAAAUAGAUCCUGAAACCGUGUGCCUACAACAAGUCAAAGCUCGUUAAUGAGUGAUGGCGUGCCUUUUGUAGAAUGAACCGGCGAGUUACGAUUGCAUGCGAGGUUAAGUCGAAGAGACGGAGCCGCAGCGAAAGCGAGUCUGAAUAGGGCGAAUGAGUAUGUAGUCGUAGACCCGAAACCAUGUGAUCUACCCAUGUCCAGGUUGAAGGUGCGGUAAAACGCACUGGAGGACCGAACCCACGUACGUUGAAAAGUGCGGGGAUGAGGUGUGGGUAGCGGAGAAAUUCCAAACGAACUUGGAGAUAGCUGGUUCUCUCCGAAAUAGCUUUAGGGCUAGCCUCGGAAUUGAGAAUGAUGGAGGUAGAGCACUGUUUGGACUAGGGGCCCAUCUCGGGUUACCGAAUUCAGAUAAACUCCGAAUGCCAUUCAUUUAUAUCCGGGAGUCAGACUGCGAGUGAUAAGAUCCGUAGUCGAAAGGGAAACAGCCCAGACCACCAGCUAAGGUCCCAAAAUAUAUGUUAAGUGGAAAAGGAUGUGGGGUUGCACAGACAACUAGGAUGUUGGCUUAGAAGCAGCCACCAUUUAAAGAGUGCGUAAUAGCUCACUAGUCGAGUGACCCUGCGCCGAAAAUGUACCGGGGCUAAACAUAUUACCGAAGCUGUGGACUACACCAUUAGGUGUAGUGGUAGGAGAGCGUUCUAAGGGCGUUGAAGGUCGAUCGUGAGGACGGCUGGAGCGCUUAGAAGUGAGAAUGCCGGUAUGAGUAGCGAA
rnacentral:rRNA from 1 species